GCUGGGCAUGGUGGUGGGUGCCUGUAAUCCCAGCUACUCGGGAGGCUGAGGCAGGAGAAUCGCUUGAACCCGGGAGGCGGAGGUUGCCGUGAGCCAAGAUCACGCCACCGCACUCCAGCCUGGGUGACAGAGCGAGACUCUGUCUCAA
ensembl:misc_RNA Metazoa_SRP Metazoan signal recognition particle RNA